rnacentral:rRNA from 1 species
CCUACGGGAGGCAGCAGUGAGGAAUAUUGGUCAAUGGGCUUACGCCUGAACCAGCCAAGUCGCGUGAGGGAAGACUGCCCUAUGGGUUGUCAACCUCUUUUGUCAGGGAGCAAUUGGCGCUACGUGUAGCGUUAUCGAGAGUACCUGAAGAAAAAGCAUCGGCUAACUCCGUGCCAGCCGCCGCGGUAAUACGGAGGAUGCGAGCGUUAUACGGAUUUUUUGGGUUUAAAGGGUGCGUAGGCGGAAUGCCAAGUCAGCGGUAAAAUCGCGGGGCUCAACCUCGCUCCGACGUUGAAACUGGCGUUCUUGAGUGGGCGAGAAGUAUGCGGAAUGCGUGGUGUAGCGGUGAAAUGCAUAGAUAUUAGGAGGAACACCGGUGGCGAAGGCGGCCUGCUGGACUGUGACUGACGUUGAGGCCCGAAGGCGUGGGGAGCAAACAGGAUUAGAUACCCGAGUAGUC